rnacentral:rRNA from 1 species
AGAGUUUGAUCCUGGCUCAGAUUGAACGCUGGCGGCAGGCCUAACAUAUGCAAGUCGAGCGGUAGCACAGGAGAGCUUGCUCUCCGGGUGACGAGCGGCGGACGGGUGAGUAAUGUCUGGGAAACUGCGUGAUGGAGGGGGAUAACUACUGGAAACGGUAGCUAAUACCGCAUGACCUCGCAAGAGCAAAGUGGGGGACCUUCGGGCCUCACGCCAUCGGAUGUGCCCAGAUGGGAUUAGCUAGUAGGUGGGGUAAUGGCUCACCUAGGCGACGAUCCCUAGCUGGUCUGAGAGGAUGACCAGCCACACUGGAACUGAGACACGGUCCAGACUCCUACGGGAGGCAGCAGUGGGGAAUAUUGCACAAUGGGCGCAAGCCUGAUGCAGCCAUGCCGCGUGUAUGAAGAAGGCCUUCGGGUUGUAAAGUACUUUCAGCGGGGAGGAAGGGAGUAAAGUUAAUACCUUUGCUCAUUGACGUUACCCACAGAAGAAGCACCGGCUAACUCCGUGCCAGCAGCCGCGGUAAUACGGAGGGUGCAAGCGUUAAUCGGAAUUACUGGGCGUAAAGCGCACGCAGGCGGUUUGUUAAGUCAGAUGUGAAAUCCCCGGGCUCAACCUGGGAACUGCAUCUGAUACUGGCAAGCUUGAGUCUCGUAGAGGGGGGUAGAAUUCAGGUGAAGCGGUGAAAUGCGUAGAGAUC